rnacentral:rRNA from 1 species
ACUCCUACGGGAGGCAGCAGUGGGGAAUAUUGCACAAUGGGGGAAACCCUGACGCAGCAAUACCGCGUGAGUGAAGAAGGUCUUCGGAUCGUAAAACUCUGUUCUUGGGGAAGAAGAAAGACGGUACCCAAGGAGGAAGCCCGGCUAACUACGUGCCAGCAGCCGCGGUAAUACGUAGGGGACAAGCGUUAUCCGGAUUUACUGGGUGUAAAGGGUACGUAGGCGGUUUAAUAAGUCAGAUGUGAAAGGUACCGGUUCAACCGGUGACAUGCAUUUGAAACUGAAAGACUUGAGUAUUGGAGAGGCAAGUGGAAUUCCUAGUGUAGCGGUGAAAUGCGUAGAUAUUAGGAGGAACACCAGUGGCGAAGGCGGCUUACUGGACAAUAACUGACGCUGAGGCGCGAAAGCGUGGGGAGCAAACAGGAUUAGAUACCCUGGUAGUCCACGCUGUAAACGAUGAAUGCUAGGUGUUGGGUAUCGACCUACUCGGUGCCGAAGUUAACGCAUUAAGCACUCCGCCUGGGGAGUACGGCCGCAAGGUUAAAACUCAAAGGAAUUGACGG